AAGACUUUAGGUAUGAUCCAGAGUACCACGGGACACGUGAAACCCUGUGGGAAGCAGGAGGGACCACCCUCCAAGGCUAAAUACUACCUAGUGACCGAUAGCGUAUAGUACCGUGAGGGAAAGGUGAAAAGAACCCCGGGAGGGGAGUGAAAUAGAACCUGAAACCCUGCACUUACAAGCUGUGGAAGCACAUUUCUUGUGUGACCGCGUACUUUUUGUAGAACGGGCCAACGAGUUACGUUAAGUAGCAAGGUUAAGCACUUAAGGUGCGGAGCCGUAGCGAAAGCGAGUUUUAACUGAGCGUUCAGUUACUUGACGUAGACCCGAAACCGGGCGACCUACCCAGGAGCAGGAUGAAGCGAAAGUAAAAUUUCGUGGAGGUCCGAACCCACGAGCGUUGAAAAGCUCGGGGAUGACUUGUGGGUAGCGGUGAAAUUCCAAUCGAGCCCGGAGAUAGCUGGUUCUCCCCGAAAUAGCUUUAGGGCUAGCCUCAAGGUGA
rnacentral:rRNA from 1 species